CCCUUAAGAUAUCUCAGCACAUGAAGGGCAGCAGUCAUAUGGGGGAGUCUGGGGCAUUUGAGGAACUGACUCAGAUGUUACACAGCAAAACAGAUGUCAGGCCUAGUGUGGGUCAGAAAUAAGAGUUUACCAACAAGGCUCCUAUACUGAUCAGGAAAAGAUAAAAGGUCACCAAACUCAGCAUGCAACUUUGCAUUAAUGUCCAAAGGACAAACAACAGAAGAGACAUUGACACAGUCAAACUGUUGCAGCAAAUCAGAAAUAUAUUUGUGUUGAUUAAGGAUCAUCCCACCAGGAACAACUGACAUCUCUAUGCCCAAAAAAUAAUGUAAGGACCCUAGGUCCUUAAUUUUGAACUGAUCAUCCAGAAACAGUUUCAGGGCAUCAAUCUCAUCACAGUUAAUAUAUUUAUGCUGAUUAAGGAUCAUCCCACCAGGAACAGCUGACAUCUUUAUGCCUAGAAAAUAAUGUAAGGACCCUAGGUCCUUAAUUUUGAACUGAUCAUCCAGAAACAGUUUCAGGUCAACAAUUUCAUCACAGUCAUCCCCAGUAAGAAUAAUAUCAUCCACAACGACAGCAACAAUCACAAGGGACCCUGGUGUACCUUUGAUGAAUAGAGAACAAUCAUUCAAAGAAUGUCUAUAGCCUCUGGAGUAAAGGGCAAAAGACAAUUUGGCAUACCACUGUCUGGAAGCCUGUCUGAGCCCAUAUAGGGAUUUGUUUAAUUCGCAAACAAGGGUAGUAGAGGCAGAGGAGACAGAAAUAGAGGUAGGGGCAGAAACUGUCAAACCUGGAGGGAGCUUCAUAUAGACCUCCUCAUCCAAAUCACCAUGCAAGAAAGCAUUAUUAACAUCUAGUUGAAACAAAUUCCAACCUCUAAUAACAAGUCUGGCUUUAUACCUUUCAACACAGCCAUCAGCCUUGUAUUUGAUUUUAUCAACCCAUUUACAACCAAUGGGUUUCUUACCAGGAGGAAGAGGAACAACAUCCCAAGUGUGGUUUGUGUCCAAAGCAUCAAACUCUUGUCUCAUGGCAUCCUGCCAUGCUGGAACAGAUGCAGCUUGAGAGUAACAUAGAGGCUCAGAUUCCUAAGAGGAGGAAGAUGAACCAGAAAAGGCAGGUAGUUGACAAACAUAAUCCUUAAGAUAAGUGGGAGGAUUAUGCUGUCUUUGAGACUUUUUGGGAGCAGGAACAGAAGGAGAAGAAGCUAGGACAGGAGGUGAGAUAUCAGGAUUGAAAGAAGGAGUGAAGGUAGAGUCAGAAGAGUUAGGGUCAGUAUAAGGAGGUACUUGCACAGAUGUAGGAGAAGGAGGUGAGGAGAGGAGGAUGGGAGAAUCAGAAUCAUCAUCAUGUUCUCCAGAAGGAACAAAAGGAAAGGAUUAAGCAGAAGGAUAAGCAGAAGAAGAUACAGUUUUAAAAGGAAAACAUGAUUCAUGAAAUAUGACAUCCCUGGAAACAAAAUAUUUCUUUGAAGCAAGAUCAUACAAUUUAUAACCCUUUUUGGCAAAAGGGUAACCCAGGAAAACACAAGCAAGGGCUCUUGGCUUUAACUUGUCCCUUUGAGGGAUUGGGACAGUGGCAUAGGCAAGGCAACCAAAUGUUCUCAAGUGAGUAUAGGUUGGAAUUUUCCGAUACAAGAUUUCAUGAGGAGAUUUAUUAUGAAGUAAUCUGGUGGGUAUUCUGUUAAGGAGGUAGGUGGCAGUCAACAAACAGUCCCCCCAGAAAGAUACAUGCAAGGUAUUCUAUUAAGGAGGUAGGUGGCAGUCAACAAACAGUCCCCCCAGAAAGAUACAUGCAAGCCAGAUUGAAAAAGCAAAGCUCUACAGGUUUCAAGGAGGGUUCUAUGCUUCCUCUCAACAACACCAUUCUAUUGAGGGGAAUGAGAGCAGGUGGUUUGAUGCAUGAUCCCCUCUCUACUAAAGAAAGAAGUACCCUCAAUGCUAGAACCCAAUUCUAAGACAUUGUCACUUCUAACAGUUUGAACCACAACAUUAAAUUGGGUUUUAACCAGAGAAAGGAAUGACUUAAGCAUAGAAAAAGCAUUGCUUUUGGAUCCUAUUAAGUGUGUCCAUGUUGCCCUAGAAAAAUCAUCAACAAUUGUAAGGAAAUACCUACAACCAGAAGAGGUUGGAGUAUGAUAAGGUCCCCAAGUGUUCACAUGAAUCAGUUGAAAGGGUUUAGAGGUCUUAAUAGAACCAUCAGGAAAGGGGAUCCUAGUCUGUCUUGCCAUAGGACAGACUGAGCAUGGAAAAGGUUGUUUGGAAGCAAAUGGAAAAGACAAACCAGAAAUAUAUCUCAUAUUUGCAAAUGGAGUAUGAGCAAGUCUUAAAUGCCAAAUGUAAUUCAUGUCAGUUGUAAGAACAUUAUUACAGAUGGAACUAUAUACAUGUGAAGGCAAUGGAACANN
rnacentral:lncRNA from 1 species